GGCGGUUUGAUAANUCUGAAGUUAAAGGCUGUGGCUCAACCAUAGUUCGCUUUGGAAACUGUCAAACUUGAGUGCAGAAGGGGAGAGUGGAAUUCCAUGUGUAGCGGUGAAAUGCGUAGAUAUAUGGAGGAACACCGGUGGCGAAAGCGGCUCUCUGGUCUGUAACUGACGCUGAGGCUCGAAAGCGUGGGGAGCGAACAGGAUUAGAUACCCUGGUAGUCCACGCCGUAAACGAUGAGUGCUAGGUGUUGGGUCCUUUCCGGGAUUCAGUGCCGCAGCUAACGCAUUAAGCACUCCGCCUGGGGAGUACGACCGCAAGGUUGAAACUCAAAGGAAUUGACGGGGGCCCGCACAAGCGGUGGAGCAUGUGGUUUAAUUCGAAGCAACGCGAAGAACCUUACCAGGUCUUGACAUCCCGAUGCUAUUUCUAGAGAUAGGAAGUUACUUCGGUACAUCGGUGACAGGUGGUGCAUGGUUGUCGUCAGCUCGUGUCGUGAGAUGUUGGGUUAAGUCCCGCAACAAGCGCAACCCCUAUUGUUAGUUGCCAUCAUUCAGUUGGGCACUCUAGCGAGACUGCCGGUAAUAAACCGGAGGAAGGUGGGGAUGACGUCAAAUCAUCAUGCCCCUUAUGACCUGGGCUACACACGUGCUACAAUGGUUGGUACAACGAGUUGCGAGUCGGUGACGACGAGCUAAUCUCUUAAAGCCAAUCUCAGUUCGGAUUGUAGGCUGCAACUCGCCUACAUGAAGUCGGAAUCGCUAGUAAUCGCGGAUCAGCACGCCGCGGUGAAUACGUUCCCGGGCCUUGUACACACCGCCCGUCACACCACGAGAGUUUGUAACACCCGAAGUCGGUGAGGUAACCUUAUGGAG
rnacentral:rRNA from 1 species